UUUCUAGAUUCAUAAAAGAAAAAAUAUGACAAAAUUUUAUAUGUUUAUUUAUGCUAUAAUUAUCUUCUUUUCCGUAUUUAUAACAAAUUGUAAUCUGCUUGGCUGCCGAAAUAAUGAGGAUUGUCAAAAUUCUCCAUUUUGUAAGGAACCUGACGAUCUUGCAAUCUGUUUGUUUGUGAAUCCAAUGACCGGAGUAGGGAUUUGUGCAUGUUACGGGAAGAUCACAGUGCACAAUAUUAGUGGCAGUUGAAUGUGUGAAGAAGCCCUAAAAGUUAAUUAAAAAAAUUAUGUUGUUGCUUUUAUGAUUUAUUUCACAGUUUUAUAUUUUGUUUAAUAAAUUACAUUCCUCUUCUUUGAAAGGAUUGAGUUUGAAUUAUACUUUCAUUCUCUCUUAUAUUAAAAGAUAUACUUUAAUC